ensembl:snRNA U6 U6 spliceosomal RNA
CUGCUCACUUUAACAGCACGUAUAUUAAAAUUAAAAUGAUGCAAAGAUUAGUAAGACCCCUCUAAAAGGAUGAUGUGCAAAUUCACGAAGCAUUCUGUAUAUUU